rnacentral:rRNA from 1 species
GACGAACCGAGCGAACGUUGUUCGGAAUCACUGGGCUUAAAGGGCGCGUAGGCGGGCUGCCAAGUUUGGGGUGAAAUCCUCCGGCUCAACCGGAGCAGUGCCUCGAAUACUGGCGGUCUCGAGGGAGGUAGGGGCGUGCGGAACUGUGGGUGGAGCGGUGAAAUGCGUUGAUAUCCACAGGAACUCCGGUGGCGAAGGCGGCACGCUGGACCUUUUCUGACGCUGAGGCGCGAAAGCCAGGGGAGCGGAACGG